rnacentral:rRNA from 1 species
GAGCGGAUGACGGGAGCUUGCUCCUUGAUUCAGCGGCGGACGGGUGAGUAAUGCCUAGGAAUCUGCCUGGUAGUGGGGGACAACGUUUCGAAAGGAACGCUAAUACCGCAUACGUCCUACGGGAGAAAGCAGGGGACCUUUGGGCCUUGCGCUAUCAGAUGAACCUAGGUCGGAUUAGCUAGUUGGUGGGGUAAUGGCUCACCAAGGCGACGAUCCGUAACUGGUCUGAGAGGAUGAUCAGUCACACUGGAACUGAGACACGGUCCAGACUCCUACGGGAGGCAGCAGUGGGGAAUAUUGGACAAUGGGCGAAAGCCUGAUCCAGCCAUGCCGCGUGUGUGAAGAAGGUCUUCGGAUUGUAAAGCACUUUAAGUUGGGAGGAAGGGCAGUAAGUUAAUACCUUGCUGUUUUGACGUUACCGACAGAAUAAGCACCGGCUAACUCUGUG